UACAGAGACCUCAAGCGUUAUCCGGAAUCAUUGGGCGUAAAGCGUACCGAUCGGUGGUGCAACAAGUCAGAUGUGAAAUUCCAAGGCUCAACUUUGGAACUGUCAUUUGAAACUGUUACACUAGAGGGGCAAAGAGGAAGCUGGAACGAACGGUGUAGUAGUGAAAUGCGUUGAUAUCGUUCGGAACACCAAUAGCGAAGGCAGGCUUCUGGGUGCCACCUGACACUGCUAGGACGAAAGCGUGGGGAGCGAAUGGG
rnacentral:rRNA from 1 species